GUGGGGAAUCUUGCGCAAUGGGCGAAAGCCUGACGCAGCCAUGCCGCGUGAAUGAUGAAGGUCUUCGGAUUGUAAAGCACUUUAAGUUGGGAGGAAGGGCAGUAAGUUAAUACCUUGCUGUUUUGACGUUACCGACAGAAUAAGCACCGGCUAACUUCGUGCCAGCAGCCGCGGUAAUACGAAGGGUGCAAGCGUUAAUCGGAAUUACUGGGCGUAAAGCGCGCGUAGGUGGUUUUGUAAGUUGGAGGUGAAAUCCCCGGGCUCAACCUGGGAACUGCCUCCAAAACUGCAUGACUAGAGUACGGUAGAGGGUAGUGGAAUUUCCUGUGUAGCGGUGAAAUGUGUAGAUAUAGGAAGGAACACCAGUGGCGAAGGCGACUACCUGGACUGAUACUGACACUGAGGUGCGAAAGCGUGGGGAGCAAACAGGAUUAGAUACCCGAGUAGUCC
rnacentral:rRNA from 1 species